rnacentral:rRNA from 1 species
AGAACGAACGCUGGCGGCAUGCCUAACACAUGCAAGUCGAACGCCUGUAGCAAUACAGGAGUGGCGCACGGGUGAGUAACGCGUGGGAACCUACCCUGGAGUGGGGGAUAACCGAGGGAAACUUCGGCUAAUACCUCAUACGACCUGAGGGUGAAAGAUUUAUCGCUCUAGGAGGGGCCCGCGUCGGAUUAGCUAGUUGGUGAGGUAACGGCCCACCAAGGCGAUGAUCCGUAGCUGGUCUGAGAGGAUGAUCAGCCACACUGGGACUGAGACACGGCCCAGACUCCUACGGGAGGCAGCAGUGGGGAAUAUUGGACAAUGGGGGCAACCCUGAUCCAGCAAUGCCGCGUGAGUGAUGAAGGCCUUAGGGUUGUAAAGCUCUUUCGGCGGGGACGAUGAUGACGGUACCGCAGAAGAAGCCCGGCUAACUUCGCGCCAGCAGCCGC